GGAUGAGGAAGAAGGGGUAAGUUCAGUCACUAGUGUUUCUGUGGCUGAAACCCUUGUUGAGAAUUUGGGGUGUGAGGGACAACCGGAUGAGGUUUAUAAUGUAGAAGAUGGUGGGGAGAUAAUGGUUGAGGUGGUAGGUUCUGAUGUUUUUGUUGAUGGGGUCUGUGGUGAUGAAUUGGGGCAGCACGGUUCUGGAAAAGUAGAUUCUUUGGAUGAGGAUAGAGAUUUUCGAUCCAGUGAAGCUCGUCAAGAGGAUUAUGGGAAUACUGGAAAUGGGGUUGAGGGGGUAUUUGAAGUUGCAGGGUCAUCCAGGGAUGUUGCCGUGGCAGCUGGUACUGAGAUUGUUUCAGGUGUAACGGCUUUUUCUGUAGUAGAGGAAGUCAACCUCAGUGUUAGUGAGGAGGAUGUUGAGGCUAGUAAUGUCGUCAUGAGCAGUAAAUCUGCUGCGUCUGCUUAUUUGGCUUCAGUUGAUGUUGCAGGGUUGUUCAGGGGUGUUUCUGAGACAGUGGACAAUGAGUCUGAUUCCAGGUUGCCUAGUGAAACAACUGAUAGAGUUUUAGAGCUGGUUAGCUCCAGAGUUAGAGAGGAGGAUGCUGAAGGGAAUGUUGGUAGGAGCGCUGUAUCUGUUGAGGGGAGUGCUGAAUUGACAUCGCAAAGACUGGAUAUUUCUGAUGAUGGGGUGUGGAAUCCUGGAAUUGAACCUCUGGCUGAAUCUUCUUCAUUUGUGCCGCAGGAGAAUUCAAAUCGUGAAACUGAAGAGGCUAACAAUCUUAGAUUGGAUUCUUCUGAAAAAGAUCAAAGUUCAGUCAGAGAGAUAAUUGGUCAGGCUAGUGAAAAAGAUAUUUCUAGUCAUGCAAGGAAUCAGAUAACAGACAAUCCAGAUGAAGGAGCUGUGUCAGGGGACAGUGGUGUGUUAGGGAAAUCACAUUCAGAAGUUGUAACUAUAGAAACCAAUGCACAUGAUCAGGAUAGAGAUGCCUUGGGGGACAAGGAUGAGAAUACACAUUCAGAAGUUGAAUCCAUGGAGACUGAUGUACUUGAGCAGAGAGAUGACAUGGGCAACAAUGAUGAGGAUUCACAUCAGGACAAUGAGUUGGUACACAAAAGACAUUCAGAAGCUGAAACCAUGGAAACUGAUGUCCAUGAUAAGGAGGCAGUUGGCUUGGGCAUUGAGAAUGCGAAUUCACAUUCUGAUGUCGAACCUAUGGAAACUGAUGUUUAUGAUCAAGAAGGUGGAGUGCUUUUCAAGGAUACAAAUAACAAUUCGAAUGCAGUGGUUGAACUCCCGGAGAAAAUUAACCAUGAAGAUGAUCAAAUAAUUAACAUGUGCCAUCAGGUUCCUGCAGGUCAUGAUAAUUUGGGUGUAGAUAUACCAGUGUCUCAAGAUUCUGCUAGAGAUUGUGCUGAUGAAAUGGUUUCUUU
rnacentral:misc_RNA from 1 species